GCGGGUAUGGCGGAAUGGCAGACGCGCCAGAUUUAGGUUCUGGUGUCUUUGGCGUGCAGGUUCAAGUCCUGUUACCCGCACCA
rnacentral:tRNA from 3 species